AUCAGCUGCUGAAGACUGAAUAUUACAGGAAUAUCAGAAUAGUUUUCAACAUUUUGUUGACAGCCUAUAUAUAUGUUGACAGACCCAAAUUCAUACAAGUGAUGGUCAAUCUCCACAGGCUUCUCAGCGCUAUCAUGAAAGGAAGCACAUCAAUUUUCAACAUAGUUUUUGUUAAUCAUCCUUGCAACUUGAGAUACAGUAUUUGCUACUUGGGAUGUAAAGGAGAAGAAAGAAACUUCAAAUUUGUCCAGAGCAAUGAAAGCCUACUACUUUCAAGGGUAGCAUUUUCCGAGUUUCCUUCUCCUUUCCUCUACUACUAGAGAAUGGAUAUCUAGAAUUGCUUCCAUUUUCUAUUUUGUAUAAAUAUGCUGAAAUGAUUCCAUAGACUUUGGAGACUUUUUACAUUAGAAGUCCAUGAGAUACCUUAGCAGAACUUAUCAUUCAUUUAUUUUUUAAUUUCCUGCCUUUUAUUUCGGGUAAGCCAAUGAUAAAUCAUCUUGUACGGAGAAGUUAUCGUAAAGGGAAGAAAUUUAAUCAUUUGUGACAUGCGAUUUGUGGAAUUUAGAUAAAUAGUUCAGUGCUUGGCUUUGUUUCGCAUGAAAGGUCAUGUUGAGUUCUCAACAGUUUUGCUUUCUUCAGUGAUAUGAUGUCAUCAAUCAAUCAUAGAUCAUGGUUUGAUCUCAGCCAUGAAUCAUCAUUCAAGAGGGAAGCUACCUUCACCCUCCCUGUUUAGCCACGCAAUCUUAUGUUUUUACAAUAAUAUCUUGGUAAUACACAUUCUAAUGUCUAGAUUCAAUAUUUCAUCUAUCUAGAAAUUUAAUAUUGAAGUUAUGCAGGUUCAUGAGUGUGAUGGUAAUGAAUCCUUGAAAACCUACAUUUGAAAAAAA